rnacentral:rRNA from 1 species
AAACUUUCAACAACGGAUCUCUUGGUUCUGGCAUCGAUGAAGAACGCAGCGAAAUGCGAUAAGUAAUGUGAAUUGCAGAAUUCAGGGAAUCAUAGAAUCUUUGAACGCACAUUGCGCCCCUUGGUAUUCCGAGGGGCAUGCCUGUUCGAGCGUCAUUU